rnacentral:rRNA from 1 species
AUGCCAGCUUCCUCGAGAUUCGUGCAAGAGAGCGAUCUAAGAAAUCCCGGGCAGGGGUCUGCGUGGGAGGUACUGAGGCUUGGACUGAUUUGCCCUAAAGACUUCCUAUUUAGUUCGGCUGAUCCCCCAAUCCCCUGCUCGCCUCCACCCAAAUACUCCAGGAAACAAACUUCGAACGCCCGCCCAAGAAGCGGCGCCGGCGCCAUGGGGGAUCGGCCAAAGCUUCCUGCCCGGUACGAGCAGGUGAAGCUGCUCGGCGAGGGCAAUUUCGCCAAGGUCUACCUCGCGCGGCACAUGGAUACCAAGGAGGAGGUGGCAAUCAAGGUGAUGGACAAGGAGAAGCUCAUCAAGUUGGGCGCCGUUCAACAGAUCAAGCGCGAGAUCGCCGUGAUGCGCCGGUUGCGCCACCCCAACAUCGUUCAGCUCCACAAGGUGAUGGCCUGCAAGUCCCGCAUCUUCGUCGUCAUGGAGUACGUCCGCGGUGGCCCGCUCUACCGCCACAUCCCCGCCAACAGCGGCCUCAAGGAGGACGAGACGCGCCGCAUCUUCCAGCAGCUCGUCUCGGCGCUCACCUUCUGCCACGCGCAGGGCGUGUACCACCGCGACAUCAAGCCCGACAACCUCCUCGUCGACGAGCACGGCAAUCUCAAGGUCGCCGACUUCGGGCUCUCCGCCCACGCCGACACGGCUCGCCGGGAGGCGCUCCUCCACACCGUCUGUGGCACGCCCCUGUACGUCCCUCCCGAGGUGUUCGCGCGCCGGGGCUAUGACGGUGCCAAGGCGGACGCCUGGUCAUGCGGCAUCGUCCUCUUCGUGCUCGCCGCCGGCCGCAAGCCUUUCCGGGACGACGACUUCAUCACCCUGUACCGGACAAUCUGCCGCGGUGACUACCGUUGCCCACGCACCUUCAGCCCCGAACUGGUACGCAUAGUACGCCGCCUCCUCCAACCAAACCCAGCGCACCGAAUCACACUCCUGCAAAUCAAGGAAACAGAUUGGUUCAAGAAAGGCUUCAAAGAAGUUAGUUUCUACAUCGACAACAAGGACUGCUUGCGCAGCCUUGAUGGCUCCGAAGAGCCUGAUCUCUGUGACUCUGACUCCGAGGACGAGACUGCCAUGUCUUCGUCAUCCUCCGGCUCUUCCUCUCCCGUGGCUCAUGGCGACGGCGGCGGCAUGCACACCUCGGUUUCAGCACCGUCUCUUGUAAAUCUGGAGAAGAUGCACAUUGCUGCAGCUCGUGCCCCCGAGCCGCGCAUAAGACGGAUCAAGAGCAUGAACGCGUUCGACAUCAUCGCCUCCUCGCCAAGCUUCGAUCUGUCCGGGCUGUUCGAGGAGCGUGGCGAGCAGUUGCGUUUCGUGUCCAGCGCGCCGGUGAAUACCAUCAUCUCGAAGCUGGAGGAGAUCGCCGGGCAAGUUAGCUUCACGGCACGCACCAAGGAUUGCCAAGUGAGCUUCGAGGCGACGAGGAAUGGCCACAAGGGCGCGCUGGCCAUAUCCACCAAGAUAUUCCAGCUCACGCCGGAGCUCGUCAUGGUCCAGGUAUGCAAGAAAGCCGGAGACACCGCUGAAUACCGUCAAUUCUGCGGCAGUGAGCUCAAGCCCGGCCUUCGAGGUAUUGUGGAUGGCCUGCCCGAGGAUGGCCUUCCUCCGACGUUGAAUGUUGCGUGA